UACAGAGGGUGCGAGCGUUAAUCGGAAUUACUGGGCGUAAAGGGCGCGUAGGCGGGAUGGCAAGUCGGUCGUGAAAUCCUUCGGCCCAACCGAAGAACGUCGAUCGAUACUGCUGUUCUAGAGGAUUGCAGAGGAGACUGGAAUUCCCGGUGUAGCGGUGAAAUGCGCAGAUAUCAGGAGGAACACCGGUGGCGAAGGCGGGUCUCUGGGCAACAACUGACGCUGAGGAGCGAAAGCGCGGGGAGCGAACAGG
rnacentral:rRNA from 1 species